GACGAACGCUGGCGGCGCGCCUAACACAUGCAAGUCGAACGAGCGAGAGAGAGCUUGCUUUCUUGAGCGAGUGGCGAACGGGUGAGUAACGCGUGAGGAACCUGCCUCAAAGAGGGGGACAACAGUUGGAAACGACUGCUAAUACCGCAUAAGCCCACGGUGCCGCAUGGCACAGAGGGAAAAGGAGCAAUCCGCUUUGAGAUGGCCUCGCGUCCGAUUAGCUAGUUGGUGAGGUAACGGCCCACCAAGGCGACGAUCGGUAGCCGGACUGAGAGGUUGAACGGCCACAUUGGGACUGAGACACGGCCCAGACUCCUACGGGAGGCAGCAGUGGGGAAUAUUGCACAAUGGGGGAAACCCUGAUGCAGCGACGCCGCGUGGAGGAAGAAGGUCUUCGGAUUGUAAACUCCUGUUGUUGGGGAAGAUAAUGACGGUACCCAGCAAGGAAGUGACGGCUAACUACGUG
rnacentral:rRNA from 1 species